CUAGUAAUGGCAGGUCAGCAUACUGCCGUGAAUACGUUCCCGGGCCCUUGUACACACCGCCCGUCACACCAUGAGAGUUGAGAAUACCCGAAGCCCAUGUCAAAGUGGUCGAAGGUAGGCUUGAUGAUUGGGGUGAAGUCGUAACAAGGUAGC
rnacentral:rRNA from 1 species